UGGUUUUGCAGAUCAAUCUCCUCGGAAGCAACCAAAUGAGUUGGGGAAAGGUGUGGUUGACUGAGGCAGUCUUGUAAUACUGCAACAGCCACACAAGCAUGGCACUGUUCGGUGGAUGAGGUUUUAACUGUUCCUCGGAUGCAGUGUACCUAAGAUGGUCAUCUUAGAUGGAUUUUGGUACACAUUCAUUAUUAUAUGCACGCUACACGAUGAUAUAACAUGGAAAUGAAAGGUACCUGCCCGGAAUAAAACUGAAUUCAAAUGGCUGGUUGAAUUUUGCUGGUGUGGGUAAUUGGAGAAGGUUUUGUACUCACGGUUCUCGCCGAGAACUGCAACUCCAGCAGAACGUUUAUUCAUGCGAGAAUUGGAGUGCUGCCAAGAACUGUGAUCAGUUGAAUUGCAAGUCUGCGGAAUAGAAAUGCUUGCUGGAGCCUUUCCUAGGCUAGGCUAGCAGAAGCGUGAACGAUACAUAUCUUGCUGAAGAAAUGCUUGCUGGAGCCUUUACUUGCAUAUCUAACCGAAGAAACCGACACCCAGCGGUUAUCUUCAUCAAAUCUAACAGCAACUUACCGCUUUCCCCGGAGUUACACGACACACUGCCA